GCUACCCUCUUUCUUUUCUUUUUUUACCACUGACGGCCGGCUAUCCUAUCUAUUCCUAUACGAGAGUGAACAGAGUUUUUUUUUUUAGAGAGAUCCACCCUUCGCUCUCGGGUUUUUUGAGAGCUUUAGGCAAGAUAAGGGAUGAAAAAUAUACCUUUUUUCAAAUACCAUAUGUUGAAAAUAACAUGCAAAUCAAGUCCAAACUCAAUACGUUUGGACAAAAAAAUAAGAGAUAAAUAUACAAGUGGAUUGUGUCCCUAGAAAAAAAAAGCAAAGCAUCAUAGACCUGUCUUAUUUUCUUUUCUAAAAAGGCCAAUGAUUGAUUAUAAAAAAGUAUAAACUUGUCUAAACAAGCAUCAUAUAGAAGCUUUUCUUCGCAGAAAUAAAGGUAGACUUAGCAAAGUAUAGCUAAUCCCACA
rnacentral:lncRNA from 1 species